UUAUGGUGUAAGGGCUGAGAGCUUAGAGG
rnacentral:piRNA from 1 species